rnacentral:tRNA from 1 species
GCCCGGUUAGCUCAAUCGGUAGAGCGUGAGACUCUUACGAGUACACAACUCCAAGUUCACACAUCUCAAGGCUGCGGGUUCGACCCCCGCAUUGGGCU